AAAUAAGAAGAAGAAAAAUAUUAAACGAAAGGAUUAAUUGCAUAUAAAUUCCUGCAAAUAUAGUGAAUUGCAAAUAUAUCUCUAUCAAGUUUCACUUUCAUAUGUUGUUCCUUUAAAAAUUCUAAUGUUUUUAAACAUAUCCCUUACAAUUAGAAUCCGUUAAAAAAAUUUAGUUAACCAUAGGUUAAAUACUUAAUACUGGUUAGUUAAUGAGAUGAAUUAACUUUUUUACCCUCUUUAAUUAAUAGUUGGAAUUUUUAAAGGGACAUAUUUGUGAUUGUAAAAAAGUCAUUUCACUUAAAAAUAGACAGUAUUUUAACGGUAAUAAAUUAAAAAGACAUAUUUAAAAAUAUUAAGACUUUUGUAGAGACAACAAAUGAAAGGUAAACUUUAUAGAAAUGUAUUUAUAAUUCACUAUAUUUGUAGAAAUCUUUAUAAAAUUAACCCACUAAAUAAAAUAAUAGUACAUCUAAA
rnacentral:lncRNA from 1 species